GCUUUUGACCGUAAUCCUCAACAAAGUAAAGUAGAAAGUUGUCAAAGUAAGUCAACGAAUAAGUUGUUUAAAAACUAAGUGGAUACUGUGAAGAUGGAAGAAAUGUGAAUCUGUUAAGUAGAGUGUGAGUGCUUAUACAAGACGGGCCAAACCAAACAACCACAAUGAUGAAAUAAGUACAAUGCAAUGUUCCAAUAGAUGAAAAUCUCCUCAUAUUUAAAUGAUCUAAUUAUCAUCAAAAAUGAGCAUGGGGAGAGCGGCAUAUAAGCAGCCACGCCACCAGCAGAGAGAGAGAGAGAGUCUGGCACAAGGAAGGCCACGGUGCUCCUGAAGCUGCUACGUUUAAUCUGUUAUGUUUGUGAAGCUGAUGUGUUUAAGUUGCU